UGUGCCACUGUACAAAUACUUGUGUACCUAACUGUAAAUGCUUUGAAAUGAACAGUCAUGCAUGAAGUCGUCACUAGGUGUAACUAUCACACUGGGCAUUAGGUCUGUGAACAGGAGGGUGUAUCUAUCUAUAUGAUCAGCAUCAACCACUGCCAGCUGCUGCUGCAUUGUCAUGGCUUGUGGAAACGAAUCAAAGCAUGUCCUCAAUCCGGGGUGAAAAAGGGCAGAGAUGUUUGACCUUUUCUUUCGAUUUCUAAAGUAGGGCUCAUGGUUACCACAGGAAUCCUCAUCUAGCCCCACCUCCUUCAGAAGGAUCCCAGAGGACUCCAUGUGAUUGACGAGCAGCUUAUGAUGAAAAUCAAGAACUACUGCUGUUGCAGUUAUUUUUUAAUCUCAAAAGUUAACCUGCACAGGACCCCACACAGACAAUGGUGAUAACUGGAAACUGGAAGCAUUGCUAUCCAUUGUGACAGCAAGGACCUUCUUGCAGCAGAACCUACUGCCAUCACCAUGGCUAAAAGCAUAAUUAUAGGUGUCUGCUACCUUUUUAGCCUUAAGUAUGCAAAAGCCAUAAAGGGUACAUUACUGUUCUUCAGGCUUUAUUGGGCAUUCAGCAGGGUAGCAUCAACCUCCCUAUAGCUGUUCUGCAAUUGCUGAAUUACUUAAAAGAUCCCAUCUAAAGUGAGUGGUCAUGUUGGCAUAGGUUCUUUAGCCAACAGCAUCAUUGUCUUUUCCCUUUGAAUGCAUACUUGUUUUGUUGUUUUUGAGGUUCUCUUUUAAUGUAAAGAACUUAUUGCUUAACAUUUGAAUGAAAAGAUGCUAAAAAUAAUUUUAGACGUCAAAGUAACAAAGGCCCUGGAACAUUAAGAUAUAUGCCAACACAUGUUGAAAUUCUUGUAUUUUUUGUAGUAUUUUUCUUCUUAUUGAGGAUUUGUGGUUCCCAAACAUGGAUUUUUCUGAGUAUUCUGUUUAUGUUUGUUGAUAAAAUAAUUUAUCCAUAAAAUGUCAAAAUGUCUUCAGAUUACUUCCUGAUGAGCAGCUAAAAAAACCCAAAGGUUUCAUUUUAUAGCGAUAUAAAUCUGAGAAAAGCAUUUAAUUCCUAGCAUUUGUGAAUCUGUAACAAUCUAAUGUACUUUUACUUGAUAAAGAACUUAAAUUAAUAUUUCCCUAUCAAAAUGAUAUGUUGGAUUUCUUUGUUGGCUGUGAAAUGACUAAUCUGCUGGUGCCAGUUUUGAAAUUUUAAAGUAAUUUUAGUACUGCUUUUGCUAAUUCUUUUUUUGUUUAUGUAUUUAUUUAUUUGUUUAUUUA